AAACUGCAUGAAAUUAAAUGGGAAAAGGAAAAUAUAAUAUCCUGUUGGGUAACUUACAGCAAAGUAACUUAAAAUACUCUUUUGGGACAGUAGGUUUUCAUGGAUUAACUGCCAUCACCCUUCAAAGGAGGGACAUAUUUAUAUUCCAUGGGCUCCAGAGAAGAGCAGCAGCUAAGGCUGCUUAUUUCCAUGUGCCAUUUAGGAAUCUGUCUGUGGAGUGGAAUAGUUGAGUCUUUCAAGAAUAAAUAUCAUAGACUGAUAAAUGUUAAUUGAGCAUAUUAUGGGUUUUUUGAGUCUUCAGAUGUCCUACAUUGGUCACGUGUAGUGAUGGGGGGGCCUGGAACUCAGUGAUUAUGCAGCAGAGAUGAAGAUAUUGAUGUUCUAAGCUUAAUUAUGAUCAGCACUUGUCUUUCUGGUAAAAGCUGCCUCAUACAGGAACUUGCCAAGUUAUCAAAAAGACUUCAAUACUAAAACUGAAGGUUUUACAAUUGAUAAAACAAAUAUUUUUUUUACAGAAGUAUCUCUUUCACAAUAUCCCAUUAACUUUCUCAUCCAGCCUUUCUCAUGAAAGUUGGAAAAACAAGCAGAAGUUUGUGAAAUAUUGUGGUUAGAUUUUAAAUGCUACUGACUUUUAUUUUUAGCAUUUUUUCUGAUAGAAAGAACCUUACUGAUAAGCUGUUCAAAUUAGCUGUAAGAUGUGGGUAUUUAGAGCCUGUUGACUACAGGGAACUUAAGCCUGAAGCCCAGGUUUUUAAAAGGCAUCAAAUCCUCAUUCUACUCAGUUUAUAAAGCCUGCUGGAUUCAAGGUAAAUUCAGUUUCUAAAAUCAGUUUAUAAAUAAGUUUAUAAAAUAACUAUAUAAAACUUAGCUGUAGUAGAAAUUAAUUGCAGUAAUUGUUAGGCCAAUGUUAAUUUACUCCCACGCUGUAGUAAUUAAACUAUUUUGCAUAAUCAUGAAGUGAUUCAGACCAGGUGACUGGCUAAAUACAUAUAUUUAUGUAAAUACAGAUAUUUACAUUAUUUUAACAAAUCACUGUUCCUAUUCAAAGCUUAGCAUGACAAAAAUGGGAGACUUGAGGGCACACUUGAGUCACCUAAAAUACUGCUGCAAAGAAGAUGAAAAUAAACUCUUUUCCAUGCUUGUAAGUAAUCAAAACCCAGAAAGGUUAUUUAGGAGUAAGGGACAUUUAAAUUACAAAGUAGAGAAAGCAAUUACUGUGGUAAAAAUAGCACUGGAGUGAGUUCCUUGUACAAUCUUCUCCACUGGCUGUUUUGAAGAUCAGUUUGGGCAACCAGUUUGAAGUCAGGAAUUGUUUGCUCUGAGCUGUUUUGGUUUGUAAAGAGGACUUUUUGUAAAGGACUUUUAAGCUCUCUUCCAUCUCUGUUGUCUGUUAUUUUUCUAUACAUACAUCAAUUCUGUAAAACAGUGCUGAAGUCUCUGGUCAGUAACAUGCCCAGAGCCACUUCAGUGGCAAAGGAAAUAAUACCAGACUCCAAGCUUGCUUUACUAGCAGUAAGUAAACAAAGUGUCACUCAUAGAUACGGCCUGAAAAUAGGAGCUGAACGAGUCCAUGCCAUAAGCCAACAUCCAGAAGUGGCACUGAAGUGGGGAAUAAGGGACACACAAGUUUUCUGUGGAAAACAAGCUGAUCUGGUGACAGCAGCCUGACCUGGACACUGCUGCAGCACUUGUGCAGCCUCACUGCCACCACUGCAAACUGGGCAGUCAAAUCCCCAUGGAGCUUGGGCAGCUGGUUCCAAAGGUCUGAUGGGUGAGGGAGCUGGAGAUGAAGAAAGAACUUCCCUGGAUCCAUACCUGCUGAGAGAAUCCAUUUUCAAGGUCAGCACAAGUCUUUGUUCAUCUGGACUGGAGAUUCCAGAUGUCUGUGAUUCAUUUGGUAUCUGAAUAGUUAAAGGAAAUUGCAUCUACUCCAGCUGGAUCUUCUCUACAUAAAUGACCCGUUUAGCUUGAUCUGGUAUUGGAUUGUUUACGUAACUUCAGUAAUUAACCACUAUCAGCCUCAUUAAUGAAACAUAAACCACCUCUUCUGCUCAUUUGUAAAGCAUUUGUCAAACAAAAUUCAAACAAAGAGCAGGAUCUCAGCAGAGUAACAGCCCUCCAAGAGCUACUGAGCUCUGACUGCAAGGCACAGCAGUCACUUUGUUGUUGUUUUUCAGUAAAACUGAAGCAGAAGCGAUGGCAUUGUCUAUUGCUCUUGGCUAACUUCUCCCCAAGCCAUCUGAGAUCUGUCACAUGAGGGCAAGGAUGCCUGGACAACUAUUUUGGAUAUUUCAGUACAAAAUACUGAUGUUCCAGCUCAUUACUGUAAAUCAUUAAAUGAUGAAAGCAAGAGUCAAAUACUAAAUGACUAAAGCCCUCAGAAAACUAAUUGCUAAUUACAGUAAUUGUUGUUCUAUAUCUUCCAAAGGUUCGGGAUUGCUGAUACUCUUGGGAUUGUUCUUCCUGGGUGUGGAUGAACCUCUCAGUCCUGGGCUUGUAAGGCAAAUCUUGAAGAGCUAAUCAUUAUGUCAAAUUUCAAUCCAAGAGCCAGACUGCCUUAAACUCAUCUGAAAAUCUCAGGACACCCCACAAAAUGUUACUGUUUUUCCUGUUUAUUCUCUUAAUCUGCAGUGCCUGAAGGCAGAGUAGCCUGGAUUCCAUCUUCAAGACAUUUGUUUUAACAGUAGAAAGAAUAUUAGACUCAUAAAUGUGAGUACUGUGGUGCAGUGGGUGACUCCUCAAGAUUUAUCAAAGCAAGAUAAUUAGGAUGAACAAUAAGACGGAGUUCCUUGGUAAUAACUUUUGUCACAGGACAACUCUGCAUUAUACCAUGUUAAUCUGCCUUGAAGUAUGGGUUGGGAAGAACAGGAGAAUUCUUUUGGGCUCCUGGCCCAUGCGUGUCUGUGCUACACUUUUGUUGAUGGCAAAAUACCACUGAAAUUGUGACAGUAGCUGAAAGCUGUCUUAACACUACCAUUUAAUUUUAAAAGCAAGCAGUCAGAAUGUAUUGGAGUGUGUGGUGUGAGAGGGGGCUGGUUUGCUUUUUAAACAGCUGUAGCUGCUGAAAUAGUUAGGUUUUGAAGGAAGGACUUGUAAUGGAAAUGAGAAUUGUUGUAUUUAAUUUUUAAAAGCUUGUACCCUGCUGCAUCACCAUGGGAGACUUGUGCUUUCAGACACUUAGCCACAAUGUUUCUACCUGUUCUGACCACACUUACAAUUAAUAUAAUUUUACUGAAAAUACAAGAAGUAUCCUAGAAAUUUGCCCUUUAUUCUUUUCUCUACUUCCAAUAUCUAGAUGUCACUCCAUCUGUCACAGAGGUUGCCAUUUGAUACUGGUCUGUUCAUAGAAUCCCAGAAUAGUUUGGAUGGGAAGGGACCUUAAAUACCAUCUUGUUCCAGCCCCCU